AUUGCCUCAGUAACGGCGAGUGAAGCGGCAACAGCUCAAAUUUGAAAUCUGGCUCCCCCCGGGCGUCCGAGUUGUAAUUUGAAGAGGGUGCUUUGGUGUCGGCGGCGGUCUAAGUCCCUUGGAACAGGGCAUCGCAGAGGGUGAGAAUCCCGUAUGUGGCCGCCAGCCUUCGCCGUGUAAAGCCCCUUCGACGAGUCGAGUUGUUUGGGAAUGCAGCUCUAAAUGGGAGGUAAAUAUCUUCUAAAGCUAAAUACCGGCCAGAGACCGAUAGCGCACAAGUAGAGUGAUCGAAAGAUGAAAAGCACUUUGGAAAGAGAGUCAAACAGCACGUGAAAUUGUUGAAAGGGAAGCGCUUGCAGCCAGACUUGCUCGCAGUUGCUCAUCCGGGCUCCCGCCCGGUGCACUCUUCUGCGGGCAGGCCAGCAUCAGUUUGGGCAGCCGGAUAAAGACCUCUGUCACGUAUCUUCCUUCGGGAUGACCUUAUAGGGGAGGUGCAAUGCGGCUAGCCUGGACUGAGGUCCGCGCUUCUGCUAGGAUGCUGGCGUAAUGGCUGUAAGCGGCCCGUCUUGAAACACGGACCAAGGAGUCUAACAUCUAUGCGAGUGUUUGGGUGUCAAGCCCGGGCGCGCAAUGAAAGUGAACGGAGGUGGGAACCCUCUCGGGGGCGCACCAUCGACCGAUCCUGAUGUCUUCGGAUGGAUUUGAGUAGGAGCAUAGCUGUUGGGACCCGAAAGAUGGUGAACUAUGCUUGAAUAGGGUGAAGCCAGAGGAAACUCUGGUGGAGGCUCGCAGCGGUUCUGACGUGCAAAUCGAUCGUCAAAUUUGGGCAUAGGGGCGAAAGACUAAUCGAACUAUCUAGUAGCUGGUUCCUGCCGAAGUUUCCC
rnacentral:rRNA from 1 species